rnacentral:rRNA from 1 species
UAAAGAAUUUCGGUAUGGGAUGGGGAUGCGUUCCAUUAGUUAGUUGGCGGGGUAACGGCCCACCAAGACAACGAUGAAUAGGGGUUCUGAGAGGAAGGUCCCCCACAUUGGAACUGAGACACGGUCCAAACUCCUACGGGAGGCAGCAGUGAGGAAUAUUGGUCAAUGGACGAGAGUCUGAACCAGCCAAGUAGCGUGAAGGAUGACUGCCCUACGGGUUGUAAACUUCUUUUAUAUGGGAAUAAAAUGUUCCACGUGUGGGAUUUUGUAUGUACCAUAUGAAUAAGGAUCGGCUAACUCCGUGCCAGCAGCCGCGGUAAUACGGAGGAUCCGAGCGUUAUCCGGAUUUAUUGGGUUUAAAGGGAGCGUAGGUGGAUUGUUAAGUCAGUUGUGAAAGUUUGCGGCUCAACCGUAAAAUUGCAGUUGAAACUGGCAGUCUUGAGUACAGUAGAGGUGGGCGGAAUUCGUGGUGUAGCGGUGAAAUGCUUAGAUAUCACGAAGAACUCCGAUUGCGAAGGCAGCUCACUGGACUGCAACUGACACUGAGGCUCGAAAGUGUGGGUAUCAAACAGGAUUAGAUACCCUGGUAGUCCACACAGUAAACGAUGAAUACUCGCUGUUUGCGAUAUACUGCAA